UGAGCAGGUUAGAUGGUCGCGAGCUUCGGCUCGAGGAAAGUCCGAGCUCCACAGGGCAGGGUGCUGGGUAAUACCCAGUGAGGGUGACCUCAAGGACAGUGCAACAGAGAUAUACCGCCCCGGUGGGAAGUGCGAGGUGUGAGGCAAGAGGUGGGAACACCAAAAACUUCGACACCCAACAUCCCCGGGGUAAGGGUGGAAAGGUGAGGUAAGAGCUCACCAGCGGAAUGGCGACUUUCCGGCUAUGUAAACCCCACCCGGAGCAAGACCAAAUAGAGGAGCAAUUGCGGUGGCCCGCCGUGCUCCCGGGUAAGGUCGCUAGAGAUGUCAGGCAACUGGCAUCCGAGAUAGAUGACCAUCCACGACAGAACUCGGCUUACAGACCUGCUCGUUAA
rnacentral:RNase_P_RNA from 1 species